AUUGAACGCUGGCGGCAUGCCUUACACAUGCAAGUCGAACGGUAACGGGUCCUUCGGGAUGCCGACGAGUGGCGAACGGGUGAGUAAUAUAUCGGAACGUGCCCAGUAGUGGGGGAUAACUGCUCGAAAGAGCAGCUAAUACCGCAUACGACCUGAGGGUGAAAGGGGGGGAUCGCAAGACCUCUCGCUAUUGGAGCGGCCGAUAUCAGAUUAGCUAGCUGGUGGGGUAAAGGCCUACCAAGGCAACGAUCUGUAGUCGGUCUGAGAGGACGACCAGCCACACUGGGACUGAGACACGGCCCAGACUCCUACGGGAGGCAGCAGUGGGGAAUUUUGGACAAUGGGCGCAAGCCUGAUUCAGCAAUGCCGCGUGCAGGAAGAAGGCCUUCGGGUUGUAAACUGCUUUUGUCAGGGAAGAAAUCUUCUGGGCUAAUACCCCGGGAGGAUGACGGUACCUGAAGAAUAAGCACCGGCUAACUACGUGCCAGCAGCCGCAGUAA
rnacentral:rRNA from 1 species